GAGCCCGUGGCUCAAUGUUAGAGCGUUCGACUCAAUAUCGUAAGGUCGUGGGUUCGAAUCCCCGGUCG
rnacentral:tRNA from 1 species